rnacentral:tRNA from 1 species
GGGAAUGCACGGUAGCCUGGUGGCGCCCGCGGACUUCAAAUCCGUUGUGAGGCGGUUACGUCUCGGGUGGGUUCGAUUCCCACACAUUCCCGC